UGUUUACAGCGUGCAAGAUGAAGCCGGCUGGGGAGGCGGGAAGAAGUACCGUUUGUCUUAGCGGGCCGGCUUGGGUCUCCUCAGAAAAAAUAGCAGCCAGGUCGUUUUAAGCCACACGUUCGUCAUCCAGAACCAUGCGGACGCCGUGUCCCGCCCGGCGCUGGGCCUCCUGUUGGAGCUCGUGUUCGAGACCUGGAAACUAGUAUGAGAUACAAGCUAGUAUCAGAAAACAUUUGACAGAAGACUUAAGAAAAUUGAUCCUUCAAAGCUAUUAUUUAAAUUUAUUUAUUUUUAAUUGUUUAGGUGAGUGGAAUCAGUUUAUGAUUUAAAAAUAUUUUUGUUAAUAACCUUAAAUUUAUCUUUGAUCUAGCUUAACCUAGUAGUCGUGUCAAAAUUCACUUAAGUUUAACAGUGAAAAUGAGCAAGAAAAUAAUUUGAACUGUCUCUGUGGUCAAAAUUUGGUACAUUUCUGUAAUGUUUGUACUGCAGCCACUUCAGGAUGCUAUCAGAGUCUAAGCUGUUUAUGUUUUUAAAAAAUUGAUAUUCUGCAACAGAAAGUUUCUAGAAGGUCUGUUUCUUACCCCUGCAUCUCCCUGAGAGGUUGUUUUUUUUUUUUUUUUUGUUUGUUUGUUUUGUUUUGUUUUUUUUACUUCAUUCAUCUUAAAUGGAGCAAGAGGUAUGUCUAGAAUCUAUAUGGUAUAGUAAGUCCACUGAAAGCAUUCACAGUAAGUUCUAAAAAUGCAAAGUGUUGUCUAGGAGCUGGAGUUUGAAGCAAUUUCUAAACACUCAGUAUUGUGGAAAGCUGUAUAAUUAUGUAAGUAAUUGUACAAUUAACAAAUGUACAGUUAGCAGAGUGGCAUGGUUAGGACAGUAUUUUACAGUUCCAAAGAUUAAAAGAGUAUUGUGGUGGAAAGAGACAAUAAAAGGUAAAUGAAAUGCUCACCUGUGUCCUAGGCUCACAGUAGAAAACUCCAAAGGGAGAGAUCUCCAGAAAAAAAAAAAAUCCUCCCCCAGUGGCAGACCCCUUAAAUGGGGUCUAGAAGAGGUGCAGUCAGGCUCCACCUGUUCUGGUCACACAGCUGAAUUGCCUUCACCUGUGCUCCCACAGCUGACUCAGUGCUUGCCUUAAGUGAUCAGUCAGUGGUUCAAGCUGUGACUGGACAGUUAUCGUACAGUAAUUAAUUUCAUUAUGUUUUAGACAAAUAAGUUGGGGGUGAAGGAAGCAAUAUUUCAUCUGUACUUGUUCCUUAUUAUUAGAAUGGGCUGCUACAUCUGCUUAAAUUGAAAGCACAGAUUUGUUGCCUUUCUUGUGCCAUCUGAAUGUUGAUUUUCACCACAAAGGUUCUAAUAGUAAGAGAAAUGAGCGAAAGAGCACUGAUACUGUCAAGAAGAAAAUUUUAGAUGUUUAGCUUUAAGCCUUAGUAGCUGAAAUACACAGAUUUACUGACCAGAAUAAGAGAAUAAUGUUUGCAAACAGUAUUGUAACAUUUUCUUCUAGUACUGUUAUCCUCUAACAUGUAGAGU
rnacentral:lncRNA from 1 species